rnacentral:rRNA from 1 species
UACGGGGGGGGCAAGCGUUGUUCGGAAUUACUGGGCGUAAAGGGCUCGUAGGCGGCCAACUAAGUCGGACGUGAAAUCCCCAGGCUCAACCUGGGAACUGCGUCCGAUACUGGAUGGCUUGAAUCCGGGAGAGGGAUGCAGAAUUCCAGGUGUAGCGGUGAAAUGCGUAGAUAUCUGGAGGAACACCGGUGGCGAAGGCGGCAUUCUGGACUGUAACUGACACUGAUGAACGAAAGCCAGGGGAGCAAACGGG